rnacentral:rRNA from 1 species
GAUGAACGCUGGCGGCGUGCCUAAUACAUGCAAGUCGAGCGAACGGACGAGAAGCUUGCUUCUCUGAUGUUAGCGGCGGACGGGUGAGUAACACGUGGAUAACCUACCUAUAAGACUGGGAUAACUUCGGGAAACCGGAGCUAAUACCGGAUAAUAUUUUGAACCGCAUGGUUCAAAAGUGAAAGACGGUCUUGCUUUCACUUAUAGAUGGAUCCGAGCUGCAUUAGCUAGUUGGUAAGGUAACGGCUUACCAAGGCAACGAUGCAUAGCCGACCUGAGAGGGUGAUCGGCCACACUGGAACUGAGACACGGUCCAGACUCCUACGGGAGGCAGCAGUAGGGAAUCUUCCGCAAUGGGCGAAAGCCUGACGGAGCAACGCCGCGUGAGUGAUGAAGGUCUUCGGAUCGUAAAACUCUGUUAUUAGGGAAGAACAUAUGUGUAAGUAACUGUACACAUCUUGACGGUACCUAAUCAGAAAGCCACGGCUAACUACGUG